UACGGAGGGGGCUAGCGUUGUUCGGAAUUACUGGGCGUAAAGCGCGCGUAGGCGGACCUGCAAGUCGGGGGUGAAAGCCCGAGGCUUAACCUCGGAACUGCCUUCGAUACUGCGGGUCUCGAGUCCGGGAGAGGUGAGUGGAAUUCCUAGUGUAGAGGUGAAAUUCGUAGAUAUUAGGAAGAACACCAGUGGCGAAGGCGGCUCACUGGCCCGGUACUGACGCUGAGGCGCGAAAGCCAGGGGAGCAAACGGG
rnacentral:rRNA from 1 species